UGGACUUUUUGGCGGGAACGCGAGGAGUGAAGUUGUGUGAUUUGUUUUAUUUUGUCUCAUUAAUGUUUCUUCAGGUUUAAAUUUGUAAUAACGGUGGUUUAUUAACUGUUUAGUAUCUGUGAAAGUGCACAAAUGAAACAAAGCUACUGAACGUAACUGCUCGGGAUCUUCCAAAAAGUCCACUGUAAAAGUCUCAGUGCUGGCAGAUAUGGUCGAGGAAAAUAAAUAUGGGACGUUUAGUUGUGAUGUUUCAUCAAAAAAAGUUUGACAAAAAUCUUGCAUACUUUCAAGGUAUUAUUUCGAAGUUUAUACCGGUGUCGACACCACCGAGACAGACCAUUGCCUGGAAUGGUUACCUCGGGGCCCAUAAAGGGCCACAUUUUUUUAAUUUAUUUAUUGCUUGGAUGGUUGGACGAGCUCACAGCCCACCUGAUAUUAAGUGGAAAACACAUCCACAUGGAAGAAUCUGAUGAUGAAUAAAUUGUAUUCGCCGAACAAACAA